rnacentral:lncRNA from 1 species
AUGAAAUAUAUUCAUCUCUUUUUGAGAUUAGGAGAGUUCUCCUUAAGUUCUUCCAAGAACUUGUCUUGAUUGCUUCAAGGAUAGUUUCUCCUUGUAAGUAAUCUUCUAUCUUAGGUGAUAGGUUAGGUUACUUGAUUGUUUCUCUUGAGGUUGUGGAUUUAAUAUAUUCAUGGUUUCUUGCGCUUCUAAUCUUGGGGUCUAAUCUCCAUGUAUGUUUCAUAAUUUUAUCUUUUAUCGUACGUCACUUCCUAUCAUAUUUACGCCAUAUAUCUUUUGAUCUUUGGGUUCGACAUCAUAAUCAUCAUAGAAAACAUACUUGAAGCGGAAUCCAUUAUCUUGAAGAGGAAGCGUUAAUUGAAAUUGGUUUCUCGCCCCUUGCCCUAGCUUCUGUUACCGCCAAAUUUAGUGAUGGAAGAGAGAAAAAAAUAUGUUAACCCUAAUGGCUGGCAAGAGGACCAAAUUUAUUGAGGUUCUCACUUAAUACGGUACGUCCAUCAACUAACCGAUCGGACGGAUGAGAUUUGCUGAAUAAUUAAAUAUUAAUUCUGGACAUAAACCUAUUGGGCCACAUACAUGUAGAAAAAAUAAUUUACAUUGAAAGCUUGAAACAUGGGCUAACCGAGUGCAAGUUUGGGCACUUGGGCAGCAAGUAUGUUUUUUAUACCGUGAAAACAUAAACGGUGAAUCUAGCCGGCUAUUUGUGUAAUAAUUCCUUUCUUAAAAGAAAUAAUCCAAAUAGUCAUCCAUCUAAUCUCUUAAACCACAUUAGUUGAUAGAUAUAUAAUAUAGUAUGUAAACGUUUAUGUAGAUUAUCUGCAUAACAGUGUAUAAUCUAUGUCAGAGGUAGAACCGGUAUUUCAAUUUUAUGGGUUCUAAAUUUUAAAGAGUUACGACUUUGAAUGUUAAUUAGUGGGUUCUAAAUUUAAUAAUUGUACAUUAUUAAUUAAUUCCAGCAUGAAAUACACUAUUUAAGUAAAAGCUACUAGGUUCGUCCGAACCCGCAAUUCAGCUUAUGCCUCCGCCCUUGAUUUAUGUAUAUGGCUAGAAAAAGUAAAUAGUGAAGCUGGCCUGCUAACAAUCCAUUUUCUAAAUCACUUAACCUUGGUGACUUAAAUCAAUACUAAUUUUUGUUAGUUGAUAAACAUGUAAUUAAGCAAAAGAAAAUCCUAGGUUAAAGUCCCUUUUAUAAUUUGCUAUUAAGAAAGGAAACCUUCCCACUCAAUUUCUAAUUAAACUAUGUUUGAGAAGUAUUGUACACGGCUAAAAUUAGAGAGUCUGAUUUUAUGAUAAUUAUAGCAUUCCAUAGUCAGUCUCCAGCGGGCUCGAGGCACAGCUCAAGGUUUGACCCCGAGGGUUUCAUACAUUCGAUCUCGGGGCAGCGCAAAUCAGUGGCUAUCACGGACAUGUGGAAAAUUCCCGAAGCAUGUAGUCUAAGCUAACAACGCCUGCAAGGAUAGUACAAGUUUGUACCAGACCAUUAAGUAUUUGUACCGGCUACUUUCCUUUGUAAUAAUUAUACAUAUACCAUGUUAGGAUUCUCCCUCCUAUAUAAAGGGGACCCUUAUCACUUUGUAAAACACACAUGAUAUUCAAUACAAGAACAAGAACAUUCUCUUUUUCUAACU